UAUUGGACAAUGGGCGCAAGCCUGAUCCAGCAAUUCCGCGUGGGUGAAGAAGGUCUUCGGAUUGUAAAGCCCUUUCGACAGGGACGAUGAUGACGGUACCUGUAGAAGAAGCCCCGGCUAACUUCGUGCCAGCAGCCGCGGUAAUACGAAGGGGGCUAGCGUUGCUCGGAAUGACUGGGCGUAAAGGGCGCGUAGGCGGCACAACUAGUCAGGCGUGAAAUUCCUGGGCUUAACCUGGGGGCUGCGUUUGAUACGGUUGGGCUAGAGGAUGGAAGAGGCUCGUGGAAUUCCCAGUGUAGAGGUGAAAUUCGUAGAUAUUGGGAAGAACACCGGUGGCGAAGGCGGCGAGCUGGUCCAUUACUGACGCUGAGCGCGAA
rnacentral:rRNA from 1 species